rnacentral:rRNA from 1 species
AUGUAUCACCAACCGUUUCCUCCGUGCAAUGACUCCGCGCAUUCGUUCUACAUGACCCUCACUUGGUUAUGGGUUAUAUACCACUUCUCACUUUAUGCCCAUAUUACCUUGUUCACUUUGCAUGAUAUGCUCAUUUCUAUAUAUUUGCCAUGCAUUUGUUACCCAUGCUUUGCAUUACACAUGAUGAUCGAUUCUAGUACUUGUAUGUGUAUUUGCAAGCUUGGUGGAGAUAUUGCUUGUUCUUGCCAUGUUUAUUUGGUGAUCCAUUCCUCUAAUGAUACAUUGAUCUUGCUUUGUAAUCGUGCUUGUGAUAUGUCAUGUGCAUUGCAUAUGCCUAUUAUUUGCUCACAUGACAUGAUUGCCAUGAUUUCCUCUAGUAUGUUGCAUCUUUGCACUACUAGCCUACACGACUUGCUUCCUAUGAUUGCUUGCCUUGUCACAUCACCGAUGAUUCAUACUUGUUCUUUUAAUGCGGUUGAUAGCCACUAUUGCCAUGCUAUAUUCACUACACCCCAUGCACGUUACGUUUGGAUUGUCUUGCACUUGCCCCAUGUGUUUAGACAUUUCAUUUCAUUUGGUGUUGUUAAUGACUCUUAUGCCUACCAUAGACCGUUCAUUGAGAGUCUUAUGCAUGCUUGUUUCCAUGAUAUCCUUGAUUUUGCUCAAUUUAUGUGCUUACAUGACAUGUCACCAUCCCUUGUCACACCAUAUGCUAUGCUUGAUGAUGACACUUGUUUGGUGAAUAUCCACUUGAAUGCUUGGUUUUGCACUAACGCUAACCACAUUGUUUUUCCAAGUGUUUGUUAUACUUGCUCCUUUUGA